ACAAUAGGAUGAUGUGAUGCAAAAGGAUGUGAAAGGAUUAAAAUAUUAGUAGUAGAAAAGACGAACUUACCUGAAGGGGAUAUUUCAUGACAGUUUUUGAUCAAAGCUCUUACUGGAAUGAAAAUGAUACAUGGAAGUAUUACAUUAGAAAAAGACCACUUUGUCUCACAUUGAAUUGCUUGUAUAAAAUUAAGCAACAGAAUGUGUGACUUCAAUAGAUAAGCAGGUGGUGUUGUAUUAUAUUUAUUAUAUACCAGUGAAUAUUUUUUUCAAUUUUCAGGUGAAAUGAAAUGAAUGUUAAUAUUUGAAGGUUCAACAAAAAUAAUUGAAAUGUAGAAGCUAUUUGUUUGUUUCAAUGUAAGAUCAAAGUACCUUUCAAUCGAAGUACAGGAAUUAUAAGGAAAACAGUUUUGGAUCAAAUGAUUUUUCAAUUGAACACCUGUUUUUGAGCCACUAGUGUUCAAGUGAGUAAUGUUUGGCUGACUAUUAAAGAAAACAAAUCUAGCUGUUUAAGAGAAAAAUCUUUCAAUGAAAUUUUUAGAGUUUGACAAAAUUAAAUUAUAUAUACAAAUGUGUAUAUAGUUUAUGAGGUUUUAAAAGACAGUUAGAUAUAACUUUAAGUCUGCAGCAAGAGUGAAAGCAUACUUAUUGUUUAAUCAGAAGAAACACAAAACUGAAGUUGGUUCAGUCCCCAAAAGGAGUAAGAGUUACACAUUCAAUUUGUUUGUUUUGUCUGAAAACGCUAUUGCAGAGUGAGGUAGAAUCUUCAAGUUAAGAACAUUUGUUUGAAAUCCAGUGAUAGAAUAUAUUCCUACAUAAUUAUGUUAAUUGUAAAUAUUACCUCAUAUUGUAUAUUAAGAGAAGGGAAUUUCAUCCACCACAUAUUGCUCAUUUCUGUUGUAAUUGAAUCAAAUUUAUUUAUUAUUAUCAUUCUUUGUACAGCAUAAUGUUACAUUUGUUUCAUCAUUAAGGUGACAUUGUGCUUUAUGUGUCUUUUGACAGUGAUAAGUGAACCAUUUCUGAAGAACUUUCUUGAAAAAAAUUGCACGCUGACCUUGGCUCUUUGUUUUGAUACUUUUCUGUUAUAAGGGGAAUAACAUAAAGAGAUUAUGUGGAGGUACAGUGCCUGAUCAUACAGAAAAAAAACAACAACAAUAAAAUCAUUAUAAUGCUCUCUUGUUAAAAUCUUUUCUGUGAACAUUUAAUAUAUUAACCACCCCGAUUUAAAACUGAUUGUUCUUUAAUGUGUGCCUAUUAUAUAGGGAGGAAAACAAGGUGUUUAGAUUUUUGGGCUUGCUGAGUCCUUUUCUCUAAGAGUUUAAUAUUAAAUUUGAAUGCAUGAUAUAAGUUGGAUUAAGGUAGUUCUUCACAGACAGAUCAAGAUGUUUUUUUUUUCUACAGUGUAGAAUUUGAUAAAAUGCUGAUUUUUUUUUUUUAAAUUGCAGAAUGUAUCUAGAGCAUUGAACAAUUACUUGAUUUUUCACUAAAUUGAUUUGAAAAUUUUAUCACUAUUGGAAUUUAUAGGAAAAUCACACUUUUGAUGACAUUACUGCUGCAUAUUUUUUUUCUUUUAUGUAGAUUUUAUUGAAACUUUUCACAGUAAUAAAUAGAUAUAUUGUCAAUUAUAUGGUCAGAUAAAAUGUGUAGGUCUGUGUCCUUACUUUUGAGAUGUUAUCUGGGUAAAUGAUGUUACACCAUGACAUCGGGUUUUCAGAUGUGCAGAACUACCUUAAAUGUGACUUAAACGGGCUCAAAAGAUCAAGGAAAGUAUUUUCCUGUUUCAGUUAUGAUAUACAAUAAUUAUGAACUCAACUUUUGUUUUGAAAAGUUUACAAGAGAUACAUUGUUGGAAACUAUUGAAUCAUUAAUGGAAAUAUUUGAAUCAUUAAUGAGAAAGUAUUAGUUUAUAGGUUAAUGUUUGUGGGUAUUUUUUGUUAGAGUGUAUGCAAAACCAUUUUGUACAUGUAUAGAACAUUGUGAUUUCAUUUUAAGGUUAGUUUAGCAUAGAUCUGUGUUUUAUAAUGUUGAGAUUUUUGUUUGUCUCUAUAUGAUUUGGGCAUUUUCAUUGUUUUACAGUAAAACAGUUGUCUCCAUCAACCACAAAUAGGAGGAAAUAGAAUUAGCGUCUUUUUGCCGGGGCAGUGGGUGGGGGGUGCAGUGGUGGUGCUCCUUAAUGAAGGUUAAUCGGAUACUUGAAAAUGUGCUCUCUUAAAGAAAUCAAUUGCUUAACCCUUACCCUGCUAAGUUCAUAAAAUGGAAUGGUCUGUCAUUCAAUUUGGGCAGUGCCAUUUAUUAUGCAAAGGGGUGUUCACUGAAAAUUUACUGACUGAAUAGCGAACAGUGUAGACCAUGAUCAGACUGCACUGGAUGUACAGGCUGAUCUUGGUCUGCCCUGGUUGCAAAGGCAGAAUCACUUGCUGCCAGCAGGCUAAAGGUCAAGCUGCUUGCUAAGCUAUAACUUCGGGUUUAAAAUAUAAUGUUGUUAAUAUUUUAUUUAUUUAUUUGUAUGCUAGAAUUAGCUGUAUUGUGUGAUGAUUAUUUUUAAGUAUUUCCACAUUCCAGUGUGAGACAUAAGACUGUAUGAUAUUGUUUUAUGUUAAGCUGUUGUCAUGGUAAUGUUUGCAUUUUUAUGUUCAACUAAUUUCAGUUUUGUCUGGUUAAUGUCAGAAAACUGGGAACCAGUCUUAGAAUUCAAUCAUUUGAUUGGUUGUUUCGGAACCUAUAGAUUGGACCAAUGGCAUGGUGAGUUAUUAGACCAGACUGGUACACGAAGUCAAGAUUUACAGAGCUAUAUUACUGUUCUUUCUUCCCAAAAAGUAAGGAUAGGUCAUGCUGUAAAUCAGUGAAAUAAUAGUAUAAACACUGACAUUUUUACUUGGGAAUUUUUUCAUUCUGAAUUGUGAAAAUGUUAAAUAUAUAGACUUACUUGUUUUUAAUAUCAUUUAUGUUGUUCUUUAUAUAUUUGUAUGAAAACCAUUGUUUUUUUUCCAUUGGAAACAACUCUUGCGAACAAAUUUGAUAACAAUUUUAUGUUGGAUGAUUAAUAUUGUUUGUGUUUUCAUUUUUAAAGAGUGUUUAAGAACUCCCAAUUAUGUCUUAAAGUAAAUUCUAACAUGAUCGGCAGCAAUUGCUAUAUAAACAUAUAGUGAAAUCGCCUAUACGUGAAUCUACGAUAAAAUAUAUAGCUGUUCCGUUUCACCCUACGAUUGUAACACUGACUGUGAGAUUCUACUCUGCUUCCGCUAUAUGCCAACUAAAUACUUGACUUUUUCAAUGCUAAGUAGAUCUAGUAGCAAUGAAAAGUACAUAAUUUUUUCUGAUAAAUCUGUCUGUUUAUAUUGUUAUCGUAAGAAAAUGUUUCAGCCUAUUAAGUUUCCAGUUCAACAUCAGUGAAUCUAUAUCUGGUUGUCUCUGUUGUACGCAUCACAAAUGUCAAAUAGAUUCUACUAUAUAAUAUACAGCUAUUGACUUAUGUUGAGGUCAAUAUGUGUUUUUACAGACCUGUAAAAUGAUAUUGAUCGAGGGUGCAGUCCGAGGUCAAUAUCAUUUUUAUAGGUCUGUAAAAACACAUAUUGACUGGAACAUAAGUCUAUAAUUGUUAUAUUAAAUGCCCUUCUAAAAUGCAUUCAUUUGACUGGCCCAUAUCUUAUACAUAUAAGAAAAAGUGAUAUCACAAAAGUCAUUAUCAAUUUUGCAAGUCAAUAUUGCUUUUUGCGGACCCGCGCAUGCCCUCAUUUCGACCAAUCAAAUGAGCGCAUUUGAGAAGGGUAUAUAUUAUCAGUAAAUAACUUAUAAUCCAGAUUCCAGUGUUUAUGUAGUUUAUAUGCCGCAAUGUUCUGGUGUGUAUAUUGCAGUGUCAUCAUAAGUGACGUGUACUAAUUUAAAAACUGCAUAGACUACAUAAACUUUGAAUACAGUAUUUACUUCUGAUUUCUGUAUCAGACCUUAGAUCUUAUUGAAUAUAAUAUUUUCACAGCAGUAAACUACUUAAUACUUGAAUCAAAAUUUAUUGAAUGUAGGAAAAUUCUGUUAUGCAAUGCUUUCCAAUUAUGGGGAGGUGUUUAUAACGCCGAAUUUCAUGACAUAUAGAGCUAAAAUGUGGUGCUAUAAAAUGCGAAGAAUUCGCAUAGUUAGAAUCGAAAUAAUAAAUAUGUGCCAAUAAUUUUAUCAGUUAAUAAAAUAUGGGCAGUUGUUUGGAUGCGAAUACUUACAUCACUCGUGCUAUGCACUCAAUUUAAUUAUAACGCAUCCAAACUCCUGCUCAUAUUUUAUUAACUGAUUAAAUAUAGGGACAUACCAAUAUUUAUUAUUUCUUAAUUCUGGCAUAAGUUAAAGACUUAAUUAUACUCUGCAGAUUUCUGUGUCACACUGAACUUUUCAUUUUGGUCUUUUAAUAAUGAAAAUGGCACAAUUUUCUCUAUGGUGUGAAGUUUCUUUGGUACUUCUAUAAGAAAACUGACUUGAUUGGAUAGUUGCAGAGUCAUUGUUCUGUUUGAUUUAAGCUUGUUAGUGCUUUCGUGAUCUUCUCGGGGACUUUAUUUGUAUGCUGUUAUAAGUGCAUGUUUGUAGCUCACCUGAGCAGCCAAGCUAUUCUGGGUGAGCUGUUGUGAUCAUUCACUGUCCAUCUAACAUCCUCUGUCUAUUGUUUAUUACAUUAGUAUGUAAUUAUUAGAAAUUUAAAGAAUCUUGUUGUCAAACUGCUGGCCCAGUUUUGAAAUGAUAUUCACAUGAAUGAUCCUUGUGUGACAAUUUACAAAGUUUGAUCAAAUUAUUCAGAUUUGUCAAAAAAAAUAAAAACACAUGGCUGCCAGAGCUAAAUACAAAAAAAAAUCUUCAAACAGUAUCUGAUUUUGAAAUAAUGUCACAGAAAUGUCCCUUGGUUACCAGUUCAUAUUAUUUCAAUGGUUAAAAAAAAACAUAUCUGUCAGAGCUAGAAUAAUUUUCAGACGCCAUCUCUUAAACCACUGAUCCAGUUCUGAAAUACAUUUGUAAUGUUACAGAAAUAUAGAAAACUUUGAAAAUCUUCUCAUCUGAUUCUGCAGGCCAGUUUUCAAAGUACUUUGGCAAAAAUGUGCUAGUUACUGGUGUCUGAGCUGUGAAACUCAGGUGAGUGAUGAGUGGUCAGCUUGGCCCUCUUGCUAUUUCUGUGUAACAUCCUCCUUUGUAAUGUUAUUUGGCACAGAUACCUUUGGAAAGCUUAUGAGCCUGUCUAAAUAUUUAAUGGAAAGGGUUUUCGAAAAAUUAAGUUAAAAGAACUUGACAAAAAAAGCAUACACUAUUAGAGUUGAUCUCCUUGUAACAGAAUAUGCUAUAAGGCAAAUAGCUUUGCCAGUUUUAUUAAAUUUCAUUUUCUUGAAACCUUUGAUAUGAAUCCCAAUGUUUCCUGAGAAUAUAAAAGGCAUUUUUGUUAUCUUUCUGGACACUUUACCAGUGUGGCUGCAUGCAUCCUACACUAUAUUAUCCUUUACUUUCAGUAACUAUGUUUUUUCUGAAACAAAUUAACAGAAAUUAGUAAUGCUUUUCAGAUUGACCCGACACUUUAAACAUCAUUCUAAAGUCUCCAUAGGUGAUAGUGGGACUUCUUUGAAUUCUUAUAAUAUCUUAAAGAAUGUCAUUUAUUGGUCAAAGAAAUAUUUCCUCAAAAUUGGGCAAAAUUACAGUUAAAAAAACCCAACAUUUUUAGCUCAAUUAUUCAAAGAACAGGUAGAGCUAUUGGGCUCAUCUGUGCAUCGGCUUCCCAAUUUUGUUAAGUUUCUGUAGGUAAGCUGGUAUUUAGUACCCACUAAUGGGAAUGGAUUGAAACUUUACACUCUUGUUCACUGUGAUGUUCUUGUUUAUAUUAGAAAUUAUACUGUAUGGUAGCUACAAUACCUUGGAAGUUUUAGGAUAAUUAGUAAACAGAUAAAGUUUUAGUUGAAUUAAAAAAAAAAAUUGGCGUCAGCAGAAUUUUAAAAAUAAAAAAUUGGUGUCAAAAAUUGCUGAAAUUUAUAAUAGAGAAUAUCAGAUAGGAGUUUGGAUUUUUUUUUGACAAGAAAGCCAUGACUAAUCAAGUAAAAACCGUCAGAGUUCUUUAGGAUGAUGUGUAAUAUCAAUAGCAUUGUCUUAUAUUUAAAGAAAAAUCAAAGAAAAUCUCCUUACAGAAAAGGUAGAUCAAAACAGUAGACUUGAAUUUAUUAACAUUUUCAGUCUGCGUACAGCUGAAGUAAUGACUGCUGACUAAAGGGAGGUUAUAGUUGUCAGGAAGGGCCUUUAGUAGCCAGAAUUACCUUGGUUUCCCCCUUGACCUUGUCUUGAAAAGUGAUUUUUUUAGAAUUUUUCAAUGUUCUAAGGUAAAAAUGAUGAAGAUUCAUAAAAUUUUGAGUAUGCUGGUAAUAAUCAAGAUAUUUCUUUUUAAUGUGCCAUACUCAGUACAUUCCUUUUGACUACAUGUAGUAAGAGAAACUAUUUGACAUUCCUUGAAUAUUAAAUGGUAUUUAGGCAAAGUAAUGCUUAAGUAUGAAGAAUGUAUCAAGUUUUAUUCAAUUUGAGCAAUGUAUUAGAUCAGACAAUCAGUUAAUUCUGGGUUAUGCUGACCAAAACCACCAGUUUGUUAGCAAAUAACAAAGUUGAAAGGAAUAUGUACAUGUUCUUACAAAUGAGCUGCUUUCUAACAUUUAAAAAAAUGCGGGAGAUUUUUAUGUUCAAUUGUUAGUUUAUAUACUACUUAAAGUGCUGUUAUUAUAUGUAUUUGUAUUUUAUUUUUUUUUGAUACUGUAUUGUCCAAUGAAAAAUGUUCAAUUCAUUUGCUAUGUGUUGAUGGUAUAUGUAGUGGGGUUUGAAGGUAGGGAAACAAAAAGGAGCUAUUACAUAAUGAAAGGACAGCACCAUCUCAACUUACAUCAUCUUAUUGCAAGUUGCCGAUUCCUAUAUAGCCCCUUUUUGCUUUAAUGCCUUUUAUAUAGGGUUGAUUGUAAUAUGUAAGAAUACUCAGUGAGGUUGAAUCAUUUUAAAUGGUUUAGAUUGGUCUUAGAAUUUUACCGUGGGAAGAUCUUGUAAAAUAAAAUCAAUGAAAUUGAUAAA
rnacentral:lncRNA from 1 species